rnacentral:rRNA from 1 species
GUUUGAUCCUGGCUCAGGACGAACGCUGGCGGCGUGCUUAACACAUGCAAGUCGAGCGGUAAGGCCCUUCGGGGUACACGAGCGGCGAACGGGUGAGUAACACGUGAGCAAUCUACCCAUCACAUCGGGAUAACUCCGGGAAACCGAAGCUAAUACCGAAUACGACCACUUCAGGCAUCUGACGGUGGUGGAAAGUUCCGGCGGUGAUGGAUGAGCUCGC